rnacentral:misc_RNA from 1 species
AAGUCGUAACAAGGUUUCCGUAGGUGAACCUGCGGAAGGAUCAUUACCAAAUCCAAAUCCUUCAACCCCUUGUGAACUAUGAUUAAUAAUUAUUGUUUUGUCUUUGGGGAGUUUUAAAGUGUUGAAAAUUUGUUAUGAUUUUUGAUACUACUACUCCCCAAAAGAGUUAUUCCUCCCCUUUUUUUUAAAAAAAGUGGAGGGAAAACACUCACAUUGUUAAACUACUUUUUUAUAAACUUUUUUUUUUGGAAUGCUUUUAUUUAUACUAAUAAAAGACAACUUUUAACGGUGGAUCUCUUGGCUCGU